UUGAGCCGUGUGAGGGGAAACCUUCAUGCACGGUUCUUAGGGGGGGGGUAGUAAUACCGCUGACCUACCCGAC
rnacentral:ncRNA from 1 species